rnacentral:rRNA from 1 species
GACGAACGCUGGCGGCGUGCUUAAUACAUGCAAGUCGAGCGAGGUUACUGUUUCGGAUCCCUUCGGGGUGAAGAAGCUUUAACCUAGCGGCGGACGGGUGAGUAACGCGUGGGUAACCUACCCCAAAGUCCGGGAUAACAGCGGGAAACCGCUGCUAAUACCGGAUGUCUUUACCUUGGGGCAUCUUGAGGUAAAGAAAGGUAACGCUUUGGGAUGGGCCCGCGUCCCAUUAGCUAGUUGGUGAGGUAACGGCUCACCAAGGCGACGAUGGGUAGCCGGCCUGAGAGGGUGGACGGCCACACUGGGACUGAGACACGGCCCAGACUCCUACGGGAGGCAGCAGUAGGGAAUAUUGCGCAAUGGACGGAAGUCUGACGCAGCGACGCCGCGUGAGCGAUGAAGGUCUUCGGAUCGUAAAGCUCUGUCCUUGGGGAAGAAGGCGAAAGCUUGACGGUACCCAAGAAGAAAGCCCCGGCUAACUACGUGCCAGCAGCCGCGGUAAUACGUAGGGGGCGAGCGUUGUCCGGAAUUACUGGGCGUAAAGGGUGCGUAGGCGGCCCUUUAAGUCGGAUGUGAAAGCCCGCGGCUUAACCGCGGAAUGGCAUUCGAAACUGGAGGGCUUGAGUGUCGGAGAGGGUAGUGGAAUUCCCAGUGUAGCGGUGAAAUGCGUAGAUAUUGGGAGGAACACCAGUGGCGAAGGCGACUACCUGGACGAUAACUGACGCUGAGGCACGAAAGCUAGGGGAGCAAACAGGAUUAGAUACCCUGGUAGUCCUAGCCGUAAACGAUGGGUACUAGGUGUGGGUGGUUUCGAUACCAUCCGUGCCGUAGUUAACGCAUUAAGUACCCCGCCUGGGGAGUACGUGCGCAAGCAUG